AGCAGCCGCGGUAAUUCCAGCUCCAAUAGCGUAUAUUAAAGUUGUUGCAGUUAAAAAGCUCGUAGUUGAAUUUCGGGGUUAGUAGGUUGGUCAUGCCUCUGGUAUGUACUGGUCUCACUGAUUCCUCCUUCCUGAUGAACCUUAAUGCCAUUAAUUUGGUGUUUUGGGGAAUUUGGACUGUUACUUUGAAAAAUUAGAGUGUUUAAAGCAAGCUAACGCUUGAAUACAUUAGCAUGGAAUAAUGAAAUAGGACGUUCGAUCCUAUUUUGUUGGUUUCUAGGAUUGACGUAAUGAUUAAUAGGGAUAGUUGGGGGCAUUAGUAUUCAAUUGUCAGAGGUGAAAUUCUUGGAUUUAUUGAAGACUAACUACUGCGAAAGCAUUUGCCAAGGAUGUUUUCAUUAAUCAAGAACGAAAGUUAGGGGAUCGAAGACGAUCAGAUACCGUCGUAGUCUUAACCAUAAACUAUGCCGACUA
rnacentral:rRNA from 1 species